GGGCCAGGCAACAUCAGACCUGCUACCUCCGUGGGCCCUACUGCGAGAAAAGUACAUCUUCACAAAUGCGGCUGGAUCCACGCUGGAACAGAGGCCACUCGCCCAGACCCACCAGCCACGGAUGGCCUCGCCGUGACAGUCUCCGCCCAGGGCCCGGCAGCCACGGGGUGGAGGCCGACCCCACACCCGAGUCCUCACCCAGGAUCCUGCAGGAGACAGGAAAGGACUUGGGCUAAGAAGAAAAGGAGAGCAACGGUUCCGCUGAAUAAAAACAUGCAAUGAUAGGAAACGAAAGCCUGUAAAGUUCUAAUCGCUGAGGCAUGCGGUACCUUUCCAUUUUCCUAUACAGCAAUAAAUAAAAUAGAGAUGGCAAGUUU